UUCGUAGGUGGUGCGGCAAGUUGGGAGUGAAAUCUCUGGGCUUAACUCAGAGGCUGCUUUCAAAACUGCCGUGCUCGAGUGCGGGAGAGGCCAGUGGAAUUGCAGGUGUAGCGGUGAAAUGCGUAGAUAUCUGCAGGAACACCCGUGGCGAAGGCGGCUGGCUGGACCGCAACUGACACUGAGGAACGAAAGCUAGGGGAGCAAACAGGAUUAGAUACCCUGGUAGUCCCAGCCCUAAACCAUCAGAACUUGGGGUGGCCCGCGUAGGCGGGUCGUCCCGCAGCUAACGCGUUAAGUUCUGCGCCUGGGGAGUACGGUCGCAAGACUGAA
rnacentral:rRNA from 1 species